AUUGAACGCUAGCGGGAGGCCUUACACAUGCAAGUCGAACGGAGUGGCGAACGGGUGAGUGAUGUAACGGAACGUGCCCAUUAGCGGGGGAUAACUAUGCGAAAGCGUAGCUUAUACCGCAUACUAUUGGAGCGGCCGAUGUCGAAUUCGGUAGUUGGUGUGGUAACGGCUCACCAAGGCGACGAUCCGUAGCUGGUCUGAGAGGACGACCAGCCACACUGGAACUGAGACACGGCCCAGACUCCUACGGGAGGCAGCAGUGGGGAAUUUUGGACAAUGGGGGAAACCCUGAUCCAGCCAUCCCGCGUGUGCGAAGAAGGCCUUCGGGUUGUAAAGCACUUUUGGCAGGAAAGCGGUACCUGCAGAAUAAGCACCGGCUAACUACGUGCCAGCAGCCGCGGUAAUUC
rnacentral:rRNA from 1 species